AACGUAGGAAGCGAGCGUUAUCCGGAUUUACUGGGCGUAAAGCGUGUGUAGGCGGUUUGACAAGUUGGAUGUGAAAGCUCCUGGCUUAACUGGGAGAGGUCGUUCAAAACUGUCAGACUCGAGAGUGGUAGAGGGAGGUGGAAUUCCGGGUGUAGUGGUGAAAUGCGUAGAUAUCCGGAGGAACACCAGUGGCGAAAGCGGCCUCCUGGCCCAUUUCUGACGCUCAGACACGAAAGCUAAGGUAGCAAACGGG
rnacentral:rRNA from 1 species